rnacentral:rRNA from 1 species
AUUGAACGCUGGCGGCGUGCUUAACACAUGCAAGUCGAACGAAGUGGCGAACGGGUGAGUAACGCGUAAUCAACCUGCCCUUCAGAGGAGGACAACAGUUGGAAACGACUGCUCAUACCGCAUACUGAAGGAGGGGAUUGCGUAUGAUUAGGUAGUUGUGGUGGUAACGGCCCACCAAGGCGAUGAGCAGUAGCCGGUCUGAGAGGAUGAACGGCCACAUUGGUACUGAGACACGGCCCAGACUCCUACGGGAGGCAGCAGUGGGGAAUCUUCCGCAAUGGACGAAAGUCUGACGGAGCAACGCCGCGUGAGUGAUGACGGCCUUCGGGUUGUAAAGCUCUGUUAAUCGGGACGCGGUACCGGAAUAGAAAGCCACGGCUAACUACGUGCCAGCAGCCGCGGUAAUAC